GAAACUGCGAAUGGCUCAUUAAAUCAGUUAUCGUUUAUUUGAUAGUACCUACCCACUACUUGGAUAUCCGUGGUAAUUCUAGAGCUAAUACAUGCUAAAAGCCCCGACUUCGGGAGGGGUGUAUUUAUUAGAUAAAAAACCAAUGCCCCUCGGGGCUCCUUGGUGAAUCAUGAUAACUUUACGGAUCGCAUGGCCUUGCGCCGGCGACGGUUCAUUCAAAUUUCUGCCCUAUCAACUUUCGAUGGUAAGGUAUUGGCUUACCAUGGUUUCAACGGGUAACGGGGAAUUAGGGUUCGAUUCCGGAGAGGGAGCCUGAGAAACGGCUACCACAUCCAAGGAAGGCAGCAGGCGCGCAAAUUACCCAAUGCUAAUUCAAGCGAGGUAGUGACAAGAAAUACUGAUACAGGGCUCUUUUGGGUCUUGUAAUCGGAAUGAGUACAAUUUAAAUACCUUAACGAGGAACAAUUGGAGGGCAAGUCUGGUGCCAGCAGCCGCGGUAAUUCCAGCUCCAAUAGCGUAUAUUAAAGUUGUUGCAGUUAAAAAGCUCGUAGUUGAACCUUGGGCCUGGCUGGCCGGUCCGCCUCACCGCGUGUACUGGUCCGGCCGGGCCUUUCCUUCUGGAGAGCCGCAUGCCCUUCACUGGGUGUGUCGGGGAACCAGGACUUUUACUUUGAAAAAAUUAGAGUGUUCAAAGCAGGCCUUUGCUCGAAUACGUUAGCAUGGAAUAAUAGAAUAGGACGUGCGGUCCUAUUUUGUUGGUUUCUAGGACCGCCGUAAUGAUUAAUAGGGAUGGUCGGGGGCAUCAGUAUUCAAUUGUCAGAGGUGAAAUUCUUGGAUUUAUUGAAGACUAACUACUGCGAAAGCAUUUGCCAAGGAUGUUUUCAUUAAUCAGUGAACGAAAGUUAGGGGAUCGAAGACGAUCAGAUACCGUCGUAGUCUUAACCGUAAACUAUGCCGACUAGGGAUCGGGCGAUGUUUCUAUCUUGACUCGCUCGGCACCUUACGAGAAAUC
rnacentral:rRNA from 1 species